UACGUAGGGGGCUAGCGUUGUCCGGAAUCAUUGGGCGUAAAGCGCGCGUAGGCGGCCCAGUAAGUCCGUUGUAAAAGUCAAAGGCUCAACCUUUGAAGCCGAUGGAUACUGCUGGGCUAGAGUCCGGAAGAGGCGAGUGGAAUUCCCUGGUGUAGCGGUGAAAUGCGCAGAUAUCAGGAGGAACACCGAUGGCGAAGGCAGCUCGCUGGGACGGUACUGACGCUGAGGCGCGAAAGCGUGGGAGCAACAGG
rnacentral:rRNA from 1 species